GUGCUUGCUGCAGCCGCACAUAAACUAAAAUUGAAACGAUACAGAGAAGAUUAGCAUAGCCCCUGCACAAGGAUGGCACACAAAUUCGUAAAGUGUUGCAUAUUUUU